rnacentral:rRNA from 1 species
UCAGGGUUGUAAAGUACUUUCAGCGGGGAGGAAGGGAGUAAAGUUAAUACCUUUGCUCAUUGACGUUACCCGCAGAAGAAGCACCGGCUAACUCCGUGCCAGCAGCCGCGGUAAUACGGAGGGUGCAAGCGUUAAUCGGAAUUACUGGGCGUAAAGCGCACGCAGGCGGUUUGUUAAGUCAGAUGUGAAAUCCCCGGGCUCAACCUGGGAACUGCAUCUGAUACUGGCAAGCUUGAGUCUCGUAGAGGGGGGUAGAAUUCCAGGUGUAGCGGUGAAAUGCGUAGAGAUCUGGAGGAAUACCGGUGGCGAAGGCGGCCCCCUGGACGAAGACUGACGCUCAGGUGCGAAAGCGUGGGGAGCAAACAGGAUUAGAUACCCCCGGUAGAGAUGGAGGCGGCA